GGCUGGACUGAAGGAUCCACACUGGAGACUGGAAGCUCUCAGGUAAAGAUUUAUGAAGAAGAAUUGCCACGCCCCCAGCAUGUGGAGAAAAUGAGCUGGAAAAUACUUGACCUGUCCAUCUUCUUCUUAGACGUGCAACUUGGUUUACUGAGUGGCUGUAACCUCUCAGAGAGAAGCUGUGAAGCU